rnacentral:rRNA from 1 species
CCUACGGGGGGCUGCAGUGGGGAAUAUUGCACAAUGGGCGAAAGCCUGAUGCAGCGACGCCGCGUGAGCGAAGAAGGCCUUCGGGUCGUAAAGCUCUGUUCUAUGGGAAGAAAAAUGACGGUACCAUAGGAGGAAGCCCCGGCUAACUACGUGCCAGCAGCCGCGGGAAUACGUAGGGGGCGAGCGUUGUCCGGAAUGACUGGGCGUAAAGGGUACGUAGGCGGCUAGAUAAGUCAGAUGUGAAAGGCUAGGGCUCAACCGUAGUAAGCCUUUGAAACUGUAGGGCUUGAGUGCAGGAGAGGAGAGUGGAAUUCCCAGUGUAGCGGUGAAAUGCGUAGAUAUUGGGAGGAACACCAGUUGCGAAGGCGGCUCUCUGGACUGUAACUGACGCUGGGGCACGAAAGCGUGGGGAGCGAACAGGAUUAGAUACCCCUGUAGUC